rnacentral:rRNA from 1 species
GACGAACGCUGGCGGCGUGCUUAACACAUGCAAGUCGAACGGAAAGGCCCUGCUUUUGUUGGGUGCUCGAGUGGCGAACGGGUGAGUAACACGUGAGUAACCUGCCCUUGACUUUGGGAUAACUUCAGGAAACUGGGGCUAAUACCGGAUAGGAGCUCCUGCUGCAUGGGGGGGGUUGGAAAGUUUCGGCGGUGGGGGAUGGACUCGCGGCUUAUCAGCUGCUUUGUGUGGUAGUGGCUUACCAAGGCUUUGACGGGUAGCCGGCCUGAGAGGGUGACCGGCCACAAUGGGACUGAGAUACGGCCCAGACUCCUACGGGAGGCAGCAGUGGGGAAUAUUGCACAAUGGGCGGAAGCCUGAUGCAGCAACGCCCGGUGCGGGAUGACGGCUUUCGGGUUGUAAACCGCUUUCGCCUGUGACGAAGCGGGAGUGACGGUAAUGGGUAAAGAAGCACCGGCUAACUACGUG